GACGAACGCUGGCGGCGUGCCUAAUACAUGCAAGUCGAACGAGUGGCGGACGGGUGAGUAAUGUCUGGGAAACUGCCUGAUGGAGGGGGAUAACUACUGGAAACGGUAGCUAAUACCGCAUACCAUCAGAUGUGCCCAGAUGGGCUUAGCUAGUUGGUGGGGUAACGGCUCACCAAGGCGACGAUCCCUAGCUGGUCUGAGAGGAUGACCAGCCACAUGGGAACUGAGACACGGGCCAGACUCCUACGGGAGGCAGCAGUGGGGAAUAUUGCACAAUGGGCGCAAGCCUGAUGCAGCCAGGCCGCGUGUAUGAAGAAGGCCUUCGGGUUGUAAAGUACUUUCAGCGGGGAGGCGUGACCCGCAGAAGAAGCACCGGCUAACUCCGUGCCAGCAGCCGCGGUAAUUC
rnacentral:rRNA from 1 species